GACGAACGCUGGCGGCGUGCCUAAUACAUGCAAGUCGAGCGAAUCGAUGGGAGCUUGCUCCCUGAGAUUAGCGGCGGACGGGUGAGUAACACGUGGGUAAUCUGCCUGUAAGACUGGGAUAACUUCGGGAAGCCGGAGCUAAUACCGGAUACUUUCUUUUCUCGCAUGAGGGAAGAUGGAAAGAUGGUUCUGCUAUCACUUACAGAUGGACCCGCGGCGCAUUAGCUAGCUGGUGAGGUAACGGCUCACCAAGGCAACGAUGCGUAGCCGACCUGAGAGGGUGAUCGGCCACACUGGGACUGAGACACGGCCCAGACUCCUACGGGAGGCAGCAGUAGGGAAUCUUCCGCAAUGGACGAAAGUCUGACGGAGCAACGCCGCGUGAGCGAAGAAGGCCUUCGGGUCGUAAAGCUCUGUUGUUAGGGAAGAACAAGUACGAGAGUAACUGCUCGUACCUUGACGGUACCUAACCAGAAAGCCACGGCUAACUACGUGCCAGCAGCCGCCGUAAAAC
rnacentral:rRNA from 1 species